GUACAUGCUUAUAACAUAGCGUUAACGCACCAAAACCCAUUAGAAUUUCGUAGUUAAACGCGCUCGGUACUAGAGUAGUACUGGGAUGGGUGACCUCCCAGGAAGUCCUAGUAUUUUACAUG
rfam:Picea glauca, whole genome shotgun sequence.